AUCCAGCCGACGAGUUCAAAAUAGGACGAAAUGCGCAUUAUGAUGGAU
rnacentral:hammerhead_ribozyme from 1 species